ACACGUGGAUAACCUGCCCUUGGGACCGGCAUAACCCCGGGAAACUGGGGAUAAUUCCGGAUACCGCAUAUAUGCUGGAAUGCUUUAUGCGUGAAAUGGAUUCGUCUGCCCAAGGAUGGGUCUGCGGCCUAUCAGGUAGUAGUGGGUGUAAUGUACCUACUAGCCAACGACGGGUACGGGUUGUGAGAGCAAGAGCCCGGAGAUGGAUUCUGAGACAUGAAUCCAGGCCCUACGGGGCGCAGCAGGCGCGAAAACUUUACAAUGCGGGAAACCGUGAUAAGGGGACACCGAGUGCCAGCAACAUUUGUUGGCUGUCCAGGUGUGUAAACUACACCUGUUAGCAAGGGCCGGGCAAGACCGGUGCCAGCCGCCGCGGUAACACCGGCGGCCCGAGUGGUGAUCGUGAUUAUUGGGUCUAAAGGGUCCGUAGCCGGUUUGGUCAGUCCUCCGGGAAAUCUGACGGCUUAACCGUUAGGCUUUCGGGGGAUACUGCCAGGCUUGGAACCGGGAGAGGUAGGAGGUACUACAGGGGUAGGAGUGAAAUCUUG
rnacentral:rRNA from 1 species